UACGUAGGGGGCGAGCGUUGUCCGGAUUUAUUGGCGUAAAGAGCGUGUAGGCGGCCAGGUAGGUUCUGCUGUGAAAACGUCGAGGCUCAACCCUCGAGACGUCGGCGGAAACCAUCUGGCUAGAGUCCGGAAGAGGAGAGUGGAAUUCCGUGGUGUAGCGGUGAAAUGCGCAGAUAUCAGGAAGAACACCCGUGGCGAAGGCGGCUCUCUGGGACGGUACUGACGCUGAGACGCGAAAGCGUGGGGAGCGAACAG
rnacentral:rRNA from 1 species